rnacentral:siRNA from 1 species
UCUGGAAAGUGCCUUAAACGUAA